rnacentral:rRNA from 1 species
CUGAAACCCGCCUCCAUGAAGUUGGAUUCGCUAGUAAUCGCGCAUCAGCCAUGGCGCGGUGAAUACGUUCCCGGGCCUUGUACACACCGCCCGUCAAGCCAUGGGAGCUGGGGGUGCCUGAAGUUCGUGACCGCAAGGAUCGACCUAGGGCAAAACCGGUGACUGGGGCUAAGUCGUAACAAGGUACC